rnacentral:rRNA from 1 species
CCUACGGGUGGCAGCAGUGGGGAAUAUUGCACAAUGGGGGAAACCCUGAUGCAGCGACGCCGCGUGAGUGAUGAAGGAUUUCGGUAUGUAAAGCUCUAUCAGCAGGGAAGAUAAUGACGGUACCUGCCUAAGAAGCCCCGGCGAAAUACUUGCCAGCAGCCGCGGUGAUACGUAGGUGGCAAGCGUUGUUCGGAUUGACUGGGGGGAAAGGGCGUGUAGCCGGGCUGACAAGUCAGAUGUGAAAUACGGGGGCUCAACCCCCGAACUGCAUUUGAAACUGUUGGUCUGUAGUAUAGGAGAGGCAGGCGGAAUUCCUAGUGUAGCGGUGAAAUGCGUAGAGAUUAGGAGGAACACCAGUGGCGAAGGCGGCCUGCUGGACGACAACUGACGGUGAGGCGCGAAAGCGUGGGGAGCAAACAGGAUUAGAUACCCCAGUAGUC